UUGCCCAACCCAUAUUAGGAAAAUGUAUUAAUCGUUCUCCAACACAUCUCCAUUCUAACUCUAUAGGACCUGCACAUUCUGAGACAGUGAGCCACUGAAUACAAGUUACUGAGAACUUACAGAAAAGAAUGAUUGUCCGCAUGGCCUUAUGGGGGAUCCGGCUGGCCACUGUUCCAAGCUACACUUUCAACAUGUGAUGGAGACUGUCAUCCCUUGUUGUUUGUCCCUGUUAACUAGGACUAUUCUGAAUUUCCAUAAGCAGACACACCGGUGCCAUCCAGCCCUUUC
rnacentral:lncRNA from 1 species